GCACGAUGGCUGAAUUCAGAUGGAUUAUAAUGUCUUCAUUUGUGAUGCUGCUGUUCAGCUUUAGAGAAGCAGCUGGGAAAUCUUCCUCUGUCACUGUCAGAGUUGGAGAUGAAGCUACUUUGCCUUGUGAAAAUGUGAAACAUGAUCAGAAUAAGUGUGACAAAGUUGCCUGGAAGUUCAGUAAUUUUAACAUUACAGAAUUACGACUUACAUUAAGAAUCACACUGUUUGAAGACGGCAGAUUCACAAAGACGCUGCAACUAAAUCAGACAGACUGAAUGUUACGGAACAAUGUUCUCUGGUUAUAAAGAAUGUCACAGUGGAGGAUGCUGGUUAUUACACCUGCACAAAGAUCAAAUCAGGACAAGUUGAACACGUUGACCUGUCUGUUGUCAGCAUCACUGAACAGAAGAACACUGAUACAGUCAGCUUGUUGUGCUCUGUGACUUGGUGUGGACACACAGUGAAGUUGCUGCAUGAGGGAAUUGAUGUCACAGAGAGAAAGACAUCACAGCGUUUCUGUUCAGCCAGAGUGAUAUUUAUAACAUCUGACUUUAAUCAGAAGUCAAAAAAUGACUUAUUGAAAUGUGAAGUGACAAAUAAAGUCACUGGAGAAGUGCAGGUGUUCCUCUUCAACCCUCCUCAGUCCUCAGUUGAGAAACCAGCAACUACAACACCAUCAACGAGAAAAACACCUGUGAAAAAGCGUGAAACAGAAGAGACAAACAGACCUGCAUCUGAAAACAACAACGAUGGAACAAAGACAGGAGAAGCAGCUGUGGGAGAAUGCAAGAUUGUGCAAGAGCACUUAG